CACUAGGCCCUUUUCAGGGCCACCACACUCCAAGCUGGUUAUUGU
rfam:Operophtera brumata OBRT01_Sc10096, whole genome shotgun sequence.